GCUCCUGUGGCGCAAUUGGCAGUCGCGUUUGGCUAAGGACCAGAUUGUUGAGAGUUCGAAUCUCUCCAGGAGUACCA
rnacentral:tRNA from 1 species